rnacentral:rRNA from 1 species
UACGGAGGAUGCAAGCGUUAUCCGGAAUGAUUGGGCGUAAAGCGUCCGCAGGUGGCUAUGUAAGUCUGCUGUUAAAGAGUGAGGCUCAACCUCAUAAAAGCAGUGGAAACUACAUGGCUAGAGUGCGCUCGGGGCAGAGGGAAUUCCCGGUGUAGCGGUGAAAUGCGCAGAUAUCAGGAAGAACACCCGUGGCGAAGGCGGCUCUCUGGGACGGUACUGACGCUGAGACGCGAAAGCGUGGGGAGCGAACAGG